rnacentral:rRNA from 1 species
UACGAAGGGGGCUAGCGUUGCUCGGAAUCACUGGGCGUAAGGCGCACGUAGGCGGAUUGUUAAGUCAGGGGUGAAAUCCUGGAGCUCAACUCCAGAACUGCCUUUGAUACUGGCAAUCUCGAGUUCGGGAGAGGUGAGUGGAACUGCGAGUGUAGAGGUGAAAUUCGUAGAUAUUCGCAAGAACACCAGUGGCGAAGGCGGCUCACUGGCCCGGUACUGACGCUGAGGUGCGAAAGCGUGGGGAGCAAACAGG